GCACUUGUAGCUCAGUUGGUUAGAGCAUUUGUCUUAUGAGCCAAAGGUCUGCGGUUCAUCAAAUCCGCACCUGUGCA